rnacentral:rRNA from 1 species
UCUAAAAAUAAAAAGGUAAUAUCCCUGGAAAAACCUAUAUUCUUUGACGGCCUUUUUUCUUAUUAAAGGAACUUGUUAUUUAACCGAAACUACACGUUAAUUUUUUCUUCUCUCUUAAAGCUUUUAUACCGUCGUCUUAAGAACCUACUUCUAAGUAAAUUCUAAAUUUUAUAAUAAACCAAGUCAGAUCAAGGUGAAGCCGAUAGAAAAGAGCAUAAUGAGUUAUUCGUAAAAAUAAUUUAUAGAUUUUAUUAUUCAAAAAGCUAAACGAAUUAAGAUUUAAAAGUA